rnacentral:tRNA from 2 species
GCCUUGGUAGCUCAGUCGGAUAGAGCGUCCCCCUCCUAAGGGGAAGGUCGCAGGUUCAAUUCCUGCCCAGGGCA